UACGUAGGGCGCAAGCGUUGUCCGGAAUCAUUGGGCGUAAAGAGCUCGUAGGCGGCCUGUUGCGUCCGCUGUGAAAUCCCGGGGCUUAACCCCGGGCGUGCAGUCGAUACGGGCAGGCUAGAGUUCGGCAGGGGAGACUGGAAUUCCUGGUGUAGCGGUGAAAUGCGUAGAUAUCGGGAGGAACACCUGUGGCGAAAGCGGCUCACUGGACCACAACUGACGCUGAGGCGCGAAAGCUAGGGGAGCAAACAGG
rnacentral:rRNA from 1 species